GGGAGGCCCCGGGUGACGUCUGCGAUGCUCGCAGCUCAUCUCUCGCGGCCUCCCAGUUCUUGCCUAUUUUGGAAGAGAGCCGCAGCCCUUCUGCUGAUGCGCGCGCGCUGGCGCCUUUUAAAGGCAACCGGCGGAGUGGCGGCUCAGCCAGGGCCCGAGAACUGCCCCCGCCCCCGAGCCGAGCCUUGGAAGGAAAGAAAACGCCAGGCCUAGAGCGUAUGAGGAUCCCCUCUGGACAAGGCCACUGAGAGAAAAUGCCAGAGUCCAGACCUAGGUAGACUUUCUGGAUGGAUGAUUACUUUGGACAAGCUUCUGGAUCCCAUGGACUCCAUGACCAAAUAACCAGGUGGCUGCUUACAAACAUCUACUGCCAUCAGAAGCUUCUGGAAACCCACCAGCUCUUUGGAACUUUCUGGAGCCAGGCCUUCUCCAUACUGCUUACAGCUGGCUUCUGGGUGGAGGCGUGGCCUGCAGCCUCUGGCUGGGGUCUGUGGACCCAGCUCUUUGAACUGCUCCCACCCAAUCCUGAUGAUGCCUACAUUCUCUACAACCCCUGCAGGGGUGUUUGACCAGGACUCACUGAAGACAGCUGUGAAGUACUUGACCAUGCCCAAGUAUGCAUGAAACUGCGUAGGUUCCAGACAUCUCUGGGCCCCUACUUUGGACCAGGGCUGGAGACCCAAAGACUGAAGCUAAACAAUACCGGAAGUAGUAGUUGCUUCAACCACAGGCUGUGCUGACCACCUGAGGAUGACCUGGGGUCUGUUUUACACCCCUUGGAACCUAUUGGAUCCCCCAACG
ensembl:lncRNA